UACACAAAAUAUAGUUCGUUAGAGUUUUAUCGAAUAAAUAAUUAGGAACAAUAUCUAAGAGAAUAUAAAAUAUAGAUGUUUAAUUUAGAAUGUUUAAAACAGACGAAACAGGUGUAAAAUAAAGGUCAUUUUGAGCGUAAAGUCAACUGAAAUGAAGACUAGAAGAGCGGAGUAUACUACAUCCGUGAUGUGAUUUGGUCGCAAUCAGCGAUGGAGAAACUGGCGUUAGUCUAGCCUACUAAGUUGAAAACGCAAUUGUUGAACACAGAUUUCGACAGAAAUUCAAAGGAUCUGAAAGAAUUGAUGGAGGAUAUGAUGGGUCAUGUUAAAGCUUAGCUCUUAGUCAGGUUUUUGGAUUGAAACAACGGCAUGUUCAUCGUUAGGACUCGCGGUUGUACUAGCCAUGUUCAGUUGGAGACGCUCCGAGACAGUAGGACAGAUUUAGACGAAAUGCAGGAUUUUAAUGAAGACUCGCACCGGUACCUUGACAUGAACAUAAUUGUUCGAGCCUCGAAACCGGCCUCGCUUAUGAUCAUGCCAGGAAACAGCAGGUCAUAGCCGUGAUGGCAGUUGCCAGGAAACAACAGGUUUACUUAUCAUCAUCAUAAAGUAAAUAGGCUUAUAACUCUGCCUACAUUUUUUCGCUUCCAAUAUCUCAGUUAUUUUAUGAAUUCGCCAUGCAGAAGUUGCAGUUUAGGCAUACAAUUUUGCAGACGGUAUUUAAAACUGUUUAAAGUGAAACAACUGAACGAUAUGUUUAAUGUUUCUGUAUUAUGAAUUGAUGAAAUUCUUGUUUGUUUACAAAAUAAACUCUGUAUAAAUAUC